rnacentral:rRNA from 1 species
GAUUGGACCGUAAGGCCUCGCGCUCCGAGAUGAGCCUAUGUCUGAUUAGCUAGUUGGCGGGGUAAUAGCCCACCAAGGCGACGAUCAGUAACUGGUCUGAGAGGACGAUCAGUCACACCGGAACUGAGACACGGUCCGGACUCCUACGGGAGGCAGCAGUGGGGAAUAUUGGACAAUGGGCGGAAGCCUGAUCCAGCAAUUCCGCGUGUGUGAAGAAGGCCUUCGGGUUGUAAAGCACUUUAGGCUGGAAAGAAAAAAUCGGAGCGAAUACCUCCGGUCUUGACGGUACCAGCAGAAUAAGCACCGGCUAACUCUGUGCCAGCAGCCGCGGUAAUACAGAGGGUGCAAGCGUUAAUCGGAUCUACUGGGCGUAAAGCGUGCGUAGGUGGCUGCGUAAGUCAAAUGUGAAAUCCCCGGGCUCAACCUGGGAAUUGCAUUCGAUACUGCGUAGCUAGAGAUCGGUAGAGGGAGGCGGAACUCCAGGUGUAGCGGUGAAAUGCGUAGAUAUCUGGAAGAACACCGAUGGCGAAAGGCAACCUCCUGGGCCUGAUCUGACACUGAGGCACGAAAGCGUGGGGAGCAACCAGGAUUAGAUACCCUGGUAGUCCACGCCUUUAACGAUGAGACUUGACGUCGGGUUGCUUAGCAAUCGGUGUCGAGCUAACGCGGCUAAGUUCCUCCGCUGGGGAGUACGCGCAUGUUUGAACUCAAGGAUUGACGGGGGCGCCCCAGCGGGUGGGAGUA